UCCUGAGUGGUUCAGUGGGUUAAGAACCGACUAGUAUCCAUGAGGAUGCAGGUUCGAUCCCUGCCCUGGGAA
rnacentral:tRNA from 1 species